UACGUAGGGUGCGAGCGUUAAUCGGAAUUACUGGGCGUAAAGCGUGCGCAGGCGGUGAUGUAAGACAGAUGUGAAAUCCCCGGGCUCAACCUGGGAACUGCAUUUGUGACUGCAUCGCUGGAGUGCAGCAGAGGGGGAUGGAAUUCCGCGUGUAGCAGUGAAAUGCGUAGAUAUGCGGAGGAACACCGAUGGCGAAGGCAAUCCCCUGGGCCUGCACUGACGCUCAUGCACGAAAGCGUGGGGAGCAAACAGG
rnacentral:rRNA from 1 species